AAUCGAAGCAGUGAACUUAAGCCCCAGUAAACGGCGGCCGUAACUAUAACGGUCCUAAGGUAGCGAAAUUCCUUGUCGGGUAAGUUCCGACCCGCACGAAAGGCGUAACGAUUUGGGCACUGUCUCAACAACAGACUCGGUGAAAUUGUAAUUCCGGUGAAGAUGCCGGAUACCUGCGACAGGACGGAAAGACCCCAUGGAGCUUUACUGUAGCUUGACAUUGGGUCUUGGUACUACAUGUACAGGAUAGGUGGGAGGCUUUGAAACCAGGACGCCAGUUUUGGCGGAGCCAUCCUUGGGAUACCACCCUUGUAGUACUGGGACUCUAACCAUAGGCCAUGAAUCUGGUCUUGGGACACUGUCAGGUGGGCAGUUUGACUGGGGCGGUCGCCUCCCAAAAGGUAACGGAGGCGCUCAAAGGUUCUCUCAGUACGGUCGGAAAUCGUACGUAGAGUGUAAAGGCAAAAGAGAGCUUGAUUGCAAGACAUACAGGUCGAGCAAGGAUGAAAAUCGGACUUAGUGAUCCGGUGGUUCUGCGUGGAAGGGCCAUCGCUCAACGGAUAAAAGCUACCCUGGGGAUAACAGGCUUAUCUCCCCCAAGAGUCCACAUCGACGGGGAGGUUUGGCACCUCGAUGUCGGCUCAUCACAUCCUGGGGCUGUAGUAGGUCCCAAGGGUUGGGCUGUUCGCCCAUUAAAGUGGUACGCG
rnacentral:rRNA from 1 species